GAGAGAUUAGAUCAAAGGUUAACUAUAUUCAUUCAGUCAUAUCUCAAACGUUUUUCUUAAUCGAAACUCAUUAUUGGAUGUUGAUGGAGUUCCUUCACUGCCAAGCUCUGCGACUCUCUCUCUCUCUCUCUCUCUCUCUCUCUCCCAGCGUCGCCCACCGUCCUGCACCAUCGCCCUCCGUCGAAGCUUCCCAAGCACUUGCUGGGGGAGAGUGUGAUUGCCCCGCAUGAUGUUGUGCAGUCUGACACCCCUUCAAAUACACUGAUCAAGAAGUUAUUAUGGAAGAAAAACAUAGUGUGAUAAGGUAGCACAGUGGGGAUAUAGAAAAACCCGUGAGAGAUGGAGACUUCCAAGAAGAAGAAGAAGAAAAUUGGGAUGUACUAAAAAGCAUACCUGAUUCUACCUCUGGAGUUCACAAGCACAAUGAGAAGGAAUCUUCCCCAAUUCCUGCUCCUGAUGAGGUUGUUUAAGGAGUUGAAGCAGUGGAUGCCCUGUAACUUGAUGAGGUUAUGGAAGAAGACAAAGAGUUUGUCUUGGAUAUGUUAAUCAUAAUAUAUAUGUCUCUGCUUACUUGAGGCAGUUUUUUAAUACCUGUGCAUUUGUUUUCGAUAUCUAUAGCCUCCUAACUGCUGAAUUUUUUUUUUGCCUUCCUGUUAUGUCAAAUGGGUCUUGUAUUUCUGCUCUGAACACUCAAUCACCAUGGUAUUUGUGAGCAUAUGAUUGUUCUAUUGUUUUAAUUUGACGCUUGUAUGAUUCAUGGAUUUAUUACUGCUGCCUUGGACUGUCAA